UACAGAGGGUGCGAGCGUUAAUCGGAAUUACUGGGCGUAAAGCGCACGUAGUCGGCUUUGCAAGUCGGGUGUGAAAUCCCCGGGCUCAACCUGGGAACUGCAUCCGAGACUGCAUUGCUAGAGUAUGGGAGAGGGAAGCGGAAUUUCUGGUGUAGCAGUGAAAUGCGUAGAUAUCAGAAGGGACAUCAGUGGCGAAGGCGGCUUCCUGGACCAAUACUGACGAUCAGGUGCGAAAGCGUGGGGAGCAAACAGG
rnacentral:rRNA from 1 species